UAACUUUUUACUGAAAAUGAGUAAUCAUAAGAGAUAUGAUCCAGGUCUAAGUUUUAUAUUAUCAUUAUGGACUUUGGCUUCAAAAAGAAUAUCUAGAAUGAUUUAUUCACUCAAGGGUUUUUAAGUCAUGAUAUAAUUUUCCAUGCCUAUAUAUUUAUAAUUCACAACUACUUUCACAAUAAAUUGAAUUCUUUGCACUCAUAUCCUCCCUGAUGCUGGAAUAAGCCAUCUGUCACUAUGUGUUUUCCUUGAUAUAGAUGCUGUUGACAAGAAAGUGAUGCUCAACUUCUAUGUCCUCUCAUUCAGUGCAGGGUCAUAGCUGUAAAGUACCUUCCAAAUCCAUUUCAUCAUGAGCUAAAGUUGCUUGGUAAAGUAAGAAGUUUUCCAUUACCAUAUCUUCCCAUUUUAUAUCCACCCUGCUUAAGGAAAUUCUCCAGCUUCUCUUCUCCCCUAGGCUCAACAAAGUUGGUCAGGAAAAAAAUGUUUCCACCUCUGGCCAAGAAAUAAGUUCUUUACCUGCAUGCUUUUCAGGCACAUAUGCUUUGAUAAUGCAAAGAGCCAUUCCUAGCUCAUGCCUCUCAAAGUCUGUCUACUCUGCUUAUGGGCUUGAUCUUUAUAAACAUUGUAUGUUAUGGCUCCUUCCAGAAAAAAAAAUGUAUCUUUCAGUUUCCCCCAACUAUAGCUAUCUUUGUCACAGAGUUAUUUUUCCAUUAUCAUGGCUUCUCAAGUCAUGGCAGUUUUGAUCAUGGGAGAAGACUUUCUACAGCCCAUUCCUUGCAGUUUAGGAUUUAUGAAGUCUUCUAACUCCACACCUAUCCAGCCAUAUCUAUUUUUGUCAGAUUCUAGUUUUGGUUUCCUUGGUUUCUUCAUCCAUACCUGUGUUUUCAAGUAGUAAAGUGUCUUGAGAUCUAGGACUUCUGCUCCAGUUGCUGUUGAUGUGAAUGAAAUCUGUUUUAGUGGCCACAGCGGAAAUUUCCUUUUUUCCUCUCUGGCCAUUUCUGCUCUGAGCACUGAAGAUUUUUUUCUGGUUGUACAUCUUAUAUGAGAAGAGCAGCUAUUGAUGUGUUUGUAUUGAGAUAAUGUCUCAUCAGCCAAGAAGACCUGAACUCACUAUAUUCUCCUACAAUGCUAGCUAACAGGACUUUGAUAUGUGUAUCUUAGCUUUAAAGCAUCCACAUAUUAUUAAUAGAUCUAUUAUCUCACAACCUUAUUAUUUAUAACAAGAGCAGCUAAAAUCUAGUUCUUUUUAAAAAAAACUAAGUACAAUAUGGUCUUAUUAACUAUAGUAGCCAUGCUGCAUUACAUUAUGUCUCUACACUUACUCCUCCUACACAUCUGCUACUUCAGGAUCCCCUUAGAACAGUUCUCUCAACUACAGCAUAGUGGAGGUUCUUUUGCAGAGCAAGUAUGAGUCCAUCCUCCCACAUUUCUAGCUUCAUCCAUGUCUUUGACAGUAUAUAGAGAAAUAUAUAAAGGAUAUGUUAAUCAGUACAGAGUUCUAGCCAAGGACAGCCAGGUAGAUGAGCCCAAUUUGUUCUCUUCUGUACAGUUUUGCAUUUCUAUCUUUGUCUAUUUGUAUUUAUGUGUUUCAUUUUCAUGCUGUGUAUUUUGGCACUUUACUCUGUAUCCUGACUGCAUCCAACCUAAGAAGGAGACUACACAUGUAGCACAGGGAACAUAUUGUAAUCAUGACAUGACAAUGGCCAAUUCAGCAGCUACUUCUCUAAAAGGUGAAUCUCAGAAGCAAGCACAGAAACCUAAAAUAUGAAGAAUUCACUGGAAGACGAUGAGGCUUUCUAUGGGCAAAGCCAAUGUCUGCCUAGGAUAGAUGAUCUGGAGAUGUCUAUCUGUCUCAGUUCAGCCCCUUCAUCAGACUAAACGUAGCAAAAAAGGUCAGACUUAUAACUUGUAAAAAGUCACCUGUGGGUGAAAUAUUCUUUCCAUAUACCAUGAAUACUGGCCUUGGUGGUAUACACCUGAAAUCCUAUGACUAAAAGGAGCAAAGCAGUAGGAUUACAGCCUAGCCUGGGUUGCAUAAGAACCUGUCUAAAAAAUGGUUAAUAUGUAUUACUCUUACUUAUAUUUGCUGUUUUUUCUUUGGAAUAUCCCUGGAUCUCUGAACCCCAUUUGGCUCAACGUCAUGUCUUUAACUCAACCGAGCAACAUCUUUGGACACUUGAAUCUGGAUUUCCCUCAGGCUUGGAUUUUGGUGUCCACUAUGUAGACCUUCACACUGUAAUUACAGAUGUUUCUAACCAGAACUGUCACCUGUUAGCUCUGUCAAAAGGAGCAACCAGUCAACAUGCCCCCUCAUUCCAACAACUUACCUAGAAACUGACCACAACCCAAAGUUCCAAGAUCACCUGGACAUCAAGAAUUACCUCUUCAUAUUUCUGUAAAUGCUAGUUUGGCCGUACUUUUAAUCCACACUACUUGGGAGGCUGAGGUCUCAAAUCAAACCCAAUAAAACAUCAGAAAAGAAAUCCACAGACUUUCUAGUGAGCUCACUGAGGAAAAAAGAUUUUAUUGUUCACUGUUAAGGGGUAAUGCAUUAAUAUUUUAUAUUGAUGCUAUUUUAUUAUUUAACCACAAAAAUACUCAUUCUGAACAACACACAUUCUUGACUGAUCUUUUAAAAUGGGUGAGGUACUGGUGUGCAUACAUGUGAUUGGGUAGUAUUUAUGGUAUUUUAUACUGAUAUUGUUAUGUGUAGUAUAAUGAUGGUGUGUUACAGAGCUUUUUCACUGUUCCUUAAGUUAUGUAGGAUUUGUAUGUUGGAAUUUAAAGGUAAGAUGGUAGAUUAGAAGCUACAUCUGAGCCAGUGGAUAAAGAAUGUGAAGAUAAAAACAUAAUAAAUCCUAUUUAUAUAUAAGAAAGACUAAGAGAAAUAAAGAGAAAUAAGGCAAUGUCUGCAUUUCUCAAUGAGCUGGGUCCACAAGAAAUGAGUUGUGGUAUUAUUCCUGCUGACUAGCAUCAGCUGUAGCUGCCAGCAGUGAAUUCUCACAAGUGAUGUCAUGAAAGCCCAAGACAAAAGGUCUGGACUGUGUAAAUACAACUGGAUGGAUAAAGAAUCAAUACACAGAAGAGGUUGGAGCAUUGUAGGUGCUGGAGUGAGUGGGAGAAAUGUGGUUUGAAAACAUGAAGUUGAAGAUCACUGCAUAUUAAUAAAGGAAACACUGUCCUGAUGGAUAUGCUGGAAGGUUCUGUGAGACAGAUCGCAGUGGGUGUGCUUCUAGUCUUUACCACAAUGGGGCUGUGUUCUAGGAUGGAAUCAAUGGCUACUCCUGCUUCUGGGUGACUGGAUACUAAGGCAAGCAGUGUGACUUGGAAGUGGAUGAACGUGUUUCUGACUCAUGCAUGAAUGAGAAUGAGGCUGUAUGCCUCAAUGAGAUAGAAAGAUUCUUGUGUGUUUGCCCUCAAGAGUAUUCUGGUGUACACUGUGAGUUGGAAAAUGUGGAUUCCAGCUAUGUCUACAUAUUGCCAUGUGCCAGAAUGCUCUUGGGGCCUACUUCUGUGACUGUUCACCUGGAUCCCUUGGAGAUCACUGUGAACUCAACUCUGGUGAAUGGGUCAGUCAGCCAUAUAUCCAUGGAGGUCUACAUGUGGAUAGAGGAAAGAACUACUACCAUGACUGCACAGGUAGUAGAUUCACAGGGACAUACUGUGAGACUUUCAUGCCUCUUUGUUGGUCAAAGCCUCAUCACAAUAAUAUAACAUGUGAAGACACUGUUGAUAGCUAUAUUUGUCACUGCUGGCCUGGAUACACACAGAUGACCUGUGCGAGACAGACAUAAAUGACUGCAGUAGCAAACCCUGUCAGCUAAUUUGGGAGUGUGCCAAGUUGUCCUCAGAAGAUCAAUAGGGGAUACAUUGCAGGCCCACCUUCCUCCUUCAACAACCCUGGAUCCUCAGGCUGUUUAUAUUUGUCAGCCUGAAUGAACAGACAGAAGCCUAGCAUAACUGUCCUCUGAAAGACUCCUCCCAGCAGCUGACUGAAACAGAGGCAGAGACUAACAGUCAAACAUUAGACUGAGCUCAGGAACUCUUGUGGAAGAGUUGGGGGAAGGACUGAGGAACCUGGAGGGGAUAUGUACUCCAUAAGAAGACCAACAGAAUCAACUAACUUGGAUUGACCUUGGGGCUUCCCAGAAAUCAGUCCACCAACCAAAGAACGUAUGCAGGCUGGACUUAGACCCCCUGCAGAUGUGCAUCUCAGUCUUUAUGUGGUCCCCCA
rnacentral:lncRNA from 1 species